AUUGUCUUUAUUUGAUUGCCCAGUUUACCACUGCUAUUACUAUGCCUUAUUAUACAGAUAUAUAUAUAUGGUUUUGUAUUUUUUCAUUUUUCUAAUGGCCGUGCAUGCUUGGCAUAAGAUCCACAGGGGAGCCUGGACACAUUUUUGUCCCUGGUGCCACUCAGGGAGGAUCUUCACGCAGGCGCUCUUUUUCUAUGCCCCACCCCCUUUUGGGACAAUUUUUUUGUUUUUAAUUUUAGAAGUGUCGCUAGUAGUUUUGACGCUUUGUUCUAGUGGUGAUUUCUUCCUUCUGACACAGCAACCAGUCUCAAGUCUCGACAUACGAGACAAGUUGUACGACUGGGUUUUCUAGACCUCUGUAUGCAAGAGACAUCGUUUAGUGAGUAGAUGGCUGCCUGUCAUACAACCCCACGUUCCGCAUCCCUCACUCUACUUUUCCUCUUACCACACUUUGUACUUGUAAGAAAAUGCAGAGGCCUCCUUUAUAUAUACCCAGUGCUGCACGUUGGAG